UAAAUUCUUGCAUUUUAACAACUAGAGAACGUUCAGAAUGCCUUUCAAAGAGAUAUUCGCUGUCGCCUGUCUAAUAAUACUAAUAACUGGAUACGGUUUAAAAUCUUUAAUUAUUCGUAGUGAACCUGCAUGCGGAAGAAUAUUUGAAAGAGGCAGAGUGGGGUUUUGGGGUUGCCUGAAACUUAAAGUCAAAAACUACUUCGAGGGAACAUUUUGUGCUGAUGACAAUGAUUCGUAACUGUCUUACUUGAUAAUCUAUGAUUUCAACAAGCAAAACUGUAAUUUAAUAAAUGAAUUUAUGCAAGAUUACUUCCCCGAUGAACAAGAAAAGACAAUGGAAGAAAGAAUCAAAGAAAAGAGACAAGGCAAUGUUAUCAUGAAGUUAUGGGAAAAGUAAAUGAAAUAUGCUUCUCAUUACACGAUUUUCAUAAUGCAAAUGCUAUUACAUCUUCAAAAAUUUGAGUUUCGGAAUAAAAUCACAUACCAAUUAAUUGUCUGAAUAAAUUCCAAUAAAUAAAAUAGAUGUGAUUAUUUAUUUGAAUUGUGUUUAUCACAUCCAGU